AAUUUAGUCAGUCUUUUCUUUCUAAAACGUUAUAUCCGUCCGUAAAAACGGCCUACUCCUUCCUCGUUGACGGGAAUCGCGCAGCAGAUUUGUAGAAAAGUGUUAUCAUUAACAUGUCUACUCAAAUCUAAACUAACGUUUUCAAAUUGUACAAAAUUUGGAAAAAUUCAGAAAUCCAACAUUUAAUCCCUUAACUAUUCCAAUUAUAAAAUGUAUACAAUAAAUAUUUUUUUGUGAACGUGCGAAGAAAAAUCGUCAGUCUGCUGAAGUGCAUUCACAUGAGUCGAAAGCCACUGUAUAGUUUCAGUCGACUAGGCAGGUAUACACGUAUACGACGAAGUAGCUUUGGCCAAUGAUUUAUACGCUUCCCACACAGAUAAGUGGGUACUCGUACUCGGUAAAUGAAAUCUCGGAUCGUAAAUCAUGCGGUGGACAAGACCCGCUGCACGCAGCAAUGAAGUUAUUAGAA